rnacentral:scRNA from 1 species
GUGCUAUCGUCUUUCAUUCCCCACCUCCAUAC